rnacentral:rRNA from 1 species
AUACGGAGGGGGUUAGCGUUGUUCGGAAUUACUGGGCGUAAAGCGUACGUAGGCGGACUGAUCAGUUGGGGGUGAAAUCCCAGGGCUUAACCCUGGAACUGCCUUCAAUACUGUCAGUCUUGAGAUUGGAAGAGGUGAGUGGAAUUCCUAGUGUAGAGGUGAAAUUCAUAGAUAUUAGGAGGAACACCAGUGGCGAAGGCGGCUCACUGGUCCAAUACUGACGCUGAGGUACGAAAGCGUGGGGAGCAAACAGGAUUAGAUACCCUUGUAGUCC